UGGGGAAUAUUGCACAAUGGAGGGAACUCUGAUGCAGCGACGCCGCGUGAACGCAGAAGGCUUUCGAGUCGUAAAGUUCUUUUAUAUGGGAUGAUAAUGACGGUACCAUACGAAAAAGCUCCGGCUAACUACGUGCCAGCAGCCGCGGUAAUACGUAGGGGGCUAGCGUUUUUCGGAAUCACUGGGCGUAAAGGGUUCGCAGGCGGAAAUGCAAGUCAGGUGUAAAAGGCAGUAGCUUAACUACUGUAAGCAUUUGAAACUGCAUAUCUUGAGAAGAGUAGAGGUAAGUGGAAUUUUUGGUGUAGCGGUGAAAUGCGUAGAUAUUAAAAAGAAUACCGGUGGCGAAGGCGACUUACUGGGCUCAUUCUGACGCUGAGGAACGAAAGCGUGGGUAGCAAACAGG
rnacentral:rRNA from 1 species